rnacentral:rRNA from 1 species
CCUACGGGUGGCUGCAGUGAGGAAUAUUGGUCAAUGGGCGGAAGCCUGAACCAGCCAAGUAGCGUGCAGGAUGACGGCCCUACGGGUUGUAAACUGCUUUUAUACGGGAAUAACGCGCCUUACGUGUAGGGCUUUGCAUGUACCGUAUGAAUAAGGACCGGCUAAUUCCGUGCCAGCAGCCGCGGUAAUACGGAAGGUCCGGGCGUUAUCCGGAUUUCUUGGGUUUAAAGGGUGCGUAGGCCGCCCGUCAAGCGUGCUGUUGAAUGUGCGGGCUCAACCCGGGCCUUGCAGCGCGAACUGGCGUGCUUGAGUCCGCGGAAAGCAGGCGGAAUUCGUCGUGUAGCGGUGAAAUGCUUAGAUAUGGCGAAGAACCCCGAUUGCGAAGGCAGCUUGCUGCGGCGGAACUGACGCUGAGGCUCGAAAGCGCGGGUAUCGAACAGGAUUAGAUACCCGAGUAGUC